CCAGCAGCCGCGGUAAUACGUAGGGUGCGAGCGUUAAUCGGAAUUACUGGGCGUAAAGCGUGCGCAGGCGGUUUUGUAAGUCAGAUGUGAAAUCCCCGGGCCCAACCUGGGAACUGCAUUUGAGACUGCAAGACUGGAGUUUGGCAGAGGGGGGUGGAAUUCCACGUGUAGCGGUGAAAUGCGUAGAGAUGUGGAGGAACACCGAUGGCGAAGGCAGCCCCCUGGGCCAAUACUGACGCUCAUGCACGAAAGCGUGGGGAGCAAACAGGAUUAGAUACCCUGGUAGUCCACGCCCUAAACGAUGUCAACUAGGUGUUGGGAGGGUUAAACCUUUUAGUGCCGUAGCUAAC
rnacentral:rRNA from 1 species